UUGAAGAUCUUUGUAAGAUUUUGGAUAGACUGCACCUGUCCGAACGAUCCUGUACAACACUAAACAGGCCAAAGCCUCUUCUUCGUCCGGCCACUUCUGUUUUUACAGAACAACCAACAUUUGAUGAACAAGUGUGUCAUGUAUCUACUUGGAUUUGUUCUCAACUGGUUUUGCACAACAUCAGACGCUGGCUGGACAAGAGAUAUGGACAAGAGACAUGGACAGAGCCCCUGCCCCACCUAUACCGGCUCAUUCACCUGAGCAUUCACCUGCUCCCCACCCUAAGCCUGACAGCUACAGAGCCGGGAUGCACCUCAAAUGCAGCCAGUAGACACCAAAUGGCUGAAUCAGAGAAGCAGCAAAAAACAAU